rnacentral:lncRNA from 1 species
UUUAGGAUGUUCUUGAGUUUCUCCCUCAUCGUCUCUAUUCGGAGACUAGGAAACCUAGAGCCACCCUAAAAACUAACCAUCAUCUCCGGUGGCGGCGCAGCCUUAGACCAUUCCAACCCACCUCAAAAUCACACCAUAGAAUCCCCUUCGUCCUCUCAUACCAAAUCCACAACCCAUUCCCUUCGAAUCGCCAUCAAAUUCUUCGAAUCUGAGAUCGAAGGUUGGACACUCGAACCUUAACCUACCCAAAUUCGCCCAAAUUUUCACCCUACAGUCACUAUGUCUCCCCAAACCCAAAACUCCGGACAAUUUGCCCAAAUGAACCCUAGAGUUUAUUGAAUUUGGAAUCUAGGGCUCAACCUAAUUUUAGAAUUGGAGUCGAGUUGAAGUUCUUUGCUCACCGGAGUUCGAAGCUCGCCUUGAUAGAGCACUCUUGUUUGAGGGAGUUCAUUAGGUGAGUUUCCCACCCUUGAUAAAGCAGUUCAAGUUGACUAGUCGUUUAUCUCCAUUUAUUUUGAUGUGGUUAGUCAUUCAUUUUCUUUCUUUUCUUUUGUUUGCAUGUUUCUGUCUUCGUCCUCUCCUAGUGUUCCUCUUCCUUUCUUUCUUUCUUGUUCAAAUCCGUGUCUGUUUGCAUGAUAGGCCAUCUAAUUUAGAAUUGGUUAAUUUAAUAAUUUUAGUUAGCAGUAGUUAAUUUCAUUCGUCUUUUUUCCUUGGUCCUUUUCACUUGAUUUUCUUUUAAAAAGAGAGAAAGGAUCUGGAACCCCUUGUGAGUCAUUGGAAGUCUGGGCUUGCUAGUGCAAGAAGCCCAAAGGUGUUAGAGUCUGCUAACGCAGAAGCCCAAUAGGCAUAGUACAUAUUGGCUCAAAGGCAUGUUUUGGUAGUUAGUAAAUCUUCAAAGGUUAGUUUAGGAAAGUUGGGCAGGGGAAUCUUUUGUAACUGCCUAAGAAAGCUGCUAGGAAAGUGGGGGAAGAGAUUGGUUUGUCAAACAGGCUAGAAAAUUAGGGUUUAAAAUGAAAAAAUGAAAAUUGAGGAAGGGGUAAUUGUUAAAUUGGUAAAAUCAUUCUGCUACCCUAAAAGCCCUCUAUAUAAAGCUUGCCUUCAAUGAGAAUGGGCAGAGAUUAAGAGGAAUAAGAAUGCACAAACGACUGAGCCCUUUACACUCUAACAAAUACUCAAAAUUUCUUGCAUUUUGGCUAAAACUUGCUUGGGUUCUGCUCUUGAUCUUCAUAGUUAGCCAGAACUUUUGAAACUUUCAACAAAUUUCUGUUUGUCUGGAUUACAAAUGGUCUAGGGAAGCUGAGAUUAUAUGUGAUUGGAUCUGCUAAUCCAUUUCCUCUGUUACUGCUGCCGAAAUCUUCAUUCUUUUGGUUUAAUUGGAUAUCCAGGUACCUCCUUGGACUCUACUCAAUGUGAAGCUCAAAAUUGAAGCAUGUAAUUGAAAAUGUGGAGUUUAAGCAUAGUAUCAAAUGAUUUGGUUUAAAAUUUAGCCUUGUUUUCUGC